rnacentral:lncRNA from 1 species
UCCUCGAUCUCCAGACCACUCCUCUCCCCAACACGCCACUGGCGGAGCUUGCCACCUCCGGUCCCCAUAGCCUCCCUUCCCUCACGGCGUCGCCCACAUCCUCCUCUCCCCGCCACGAAGUCGCCGGCCUCCUUCUCUGCCCGGAACCUCUCGCGCCGUCCCAUCGGCACCGAGCCUGCCCGGCCGCCGGUAUGGUCGGUCCAGAAGGCCUCGCCGCUCUGCGUACGAGCCGUCCGGCGGUGUGUAUGACUACAUCUGGCACAGCGGACGCGGCAAGGAGGAGCGACGGCGCCCUCGUCGUCUUGCCCGGUCUUGUACCGUAGCCGAGCCACUCCGAGCAUAAUCCACACCUUCACCUCAAGGUGAGGCCCUCUCUUUCUGCACUCCCCACUUCCCGGACCUGUAAUUGCUAUAUGCAAGAAAACAGCUUACCGUUCAUUUCUGAAAGUACAUGAAACGAUUACUCCAUGGAGUUUAGAACUGCUGUGGAUCUAUCCUACAGAUAAUGCCAUGGUUGCUUGUUAAUUUAGGAGUAGACAAGAGCUAAACUGAACCACAUGAUCAGAUCCCGGGCGUUUUGUCGCAACUCUGAAUUUGCAAACUGCAGUGUGUAAAUCUCUGCUAUGCUGCUGUUGCUUCUGCUAUUCACAGCUGCUGUACAUCAGAGGGCAAGAGCGAGAUAGAGAGAGAUUGUGUUGUGUAGUGCUUGCUCAUGGAGGUGGCGCUGUUUCUUGGAAGUCUUGCAAGCAGACCAUCUUAACGAGGUCAACAAUGGAAGCUGAACUCACAUCACUGGAUGCAGCUACGGUCGAAGCAGAUUGGCUUCGUCGGCUCUUGAAUGACUUGCCGGUUGUUGAGCAACCUAUACCGGGUGUCCUUAUGAACUGCGACAAUCAAACUGUGAUCACGAAAGUGAGCAGCUCAAAGGAUAACAUGAAGUCAUCAAUACACGUUCAGAGAAGGUUAAAGUUUGUCAGAAAAAUGAGAAACUCCGGAAUUAUUGCACUGGAUUAUAUCCAAACGUCUAAAAAUCUGGCAGAUCCUUUUACUAAGGCUUUAUCACGUAAUGUGAUAGAUAAUGCAUCGGGGGAGAUGGGUAUGAGACCCUCAAUAUGAGUUGUUCACAGUGGUAACCUAUUCUUUGUGAUCGGAGAUCCCGUGAAUUAGAUUUGAAAGACAAGAUGUUGGUCAACUGAGAGGAGAGUAUCCUUACUAUUAACAAUACCACUCCAUGAAGAUGCAAUACUCUCCUAAAACUGCAUGGCAGGUUGAUGUAUACCUUAAUGUGUUCUAAGUGGCUCAUUUAAGCAGAGAUGUUGUCCUGCAGAACAUCUUUUGAAGAACACACCUAUAUGAGUCUGAUUGUCAAACGUCGCAAUCUAUGAGAGUAGGGUUCUCUCUAGUAAACUCAUGAAAGGUCUCGGAGUAUGAUGCAUAAGCUCCACCCGCGGGGAAGACCCACGGUAGCCACGUAUCGGUCAAGGCUUUAUAUGAAGCUAAUUUCGCAGAAAACUUGCAGUUCAAGGCCCAGUCCACUGUUCAAGUUGCUUAGUAGUGUAGCAUAGAGUUCUAGGUGAAAGUUGAACUUAACAGUCACCACUGCAGUACCGGUAUAUAAAACAGUGUUUUGGAACCAAAGGCAAAUUUCUGUGUGCCUCUAGGAUCUGGUGGGGGAUUGCUGGAAUUUAGUCUAUUUUGGGCAGCCCAAUAACUAUUUCAGAAAUUCCUAAUAAAUCCUAGAGGCCCACUUAGCCCAUUUGUGCACGGCAAGGGAUACUACUAAAGUUUAGUCCCACAUUGCUAGUUUAGUGGGAGUUGGACCUCCUUAUAAGGGAGGUUCUUUCCCCACUUGUAUGAGCAUGAGAACAAGAGGGAUAUCCACGCGCGCUCCUCCUCCGCCGCCCGCCUCGCCACGCCACGCCACGGCUCGUCGCGCCGCGGGUUGCGGGAACGAGCUGAUUCUAAAUUUUUGCCAUGCACUAUGGGUAUACGAAAGGUCACUCGGGAGUUGAAAAGUUUUUGCUGUAGUGGACAUUGAAUACGAACGCUGCACCCUUCGGCUGCUGCCUGUUCAUUUCAUUUCCCGAGUUCCUUUCAGCUCCCGGCGCAGCCUCUCGCCUCCUUCUCUUGAACCUAUAAAACGGAGGUCGCUCCUCUCAGAGAAAGGCACCAGAACUUCUCCUUCCUCUCGCCACCGGUUCCAAUCUCUGUGCUGUUGUUGUCUUCCUCAUCCCGGCUUGCGGCGUGCACCGCGAGUCGGGACAGUAGGCCUCCGAAACCGCAGCUCUUUGAGUCCUGUACAGGAGAAGGGUGAUAAGGUUUUUGGGGAGCGCUCCGCGCGACUACUGACUUCUUCAUCACGGACUCUGACGACUACUUCCCCGACGACGACUUCUUCCCCGACGUCAACAACCUUAUCAACGACAUGGCUGGAGAGGAUGUCGACCUCAAGUCCAGUGCUUCUGCUGCUGCUGUUGUCCCGUACGUGUUCUUCCUCUUUCUAUUAGAGGUUCUGCUACAGUUUCUUGUUCUAGUGUUUGCCCUAGAUAUGAUAGACUCUGCUUCAUAUAUGAAACUUGUCCUACUGUCUGCUCUAGAUAAACUUGGUUACAGUUCAUGUAUGCAGAUGUUAUUUACCUUCUUUCUGUCAGAUCGCAUGACUAGUUUUGUCACUGUUAUAUUAGUCAUGCUUUAUCUAAUAUUUCUGUUAAUAAAAUCAUUUGGUAAAUUGCUCAUAUUUCCAACAAUCCAAAAACCUUAUUAUAGGCAAUUUACCCCGAGUGGUUUUGCUGCUUCCAUGAGACCUCCUAUGUUUGAGGGUAUGCACUAUAAGAGGUGGCGCGUGAGAGCAGUCUUAUGGUUUCAAACCAUGAGUUGCUAUGACGCCACUCUUGGCAAACCUGAAGGAGAGCUUGAUGCUCAACAGGCACAAGCUUUUAAGAAAAUGGAUACUCUGUUUAAGGCUGCUCUCUUGAGUGUUCUUAGUGAGAACAUAGUUGAUGCUUAUGCGUCAAUUGAUAAUGGAAAAGAUAUGUGGGAUGCACUCGAGGCCAAGUUUGGGGUCUCGGAUGCUGGCACUGAGCUGUACAUCAUGGAGCAAUUCUAUGAUUACAGGAUGACUGAAGAGCGCUCCGUGGUUGAGCAAGCUCAUGGGAUACAGUCAUUUGCUAGAGAACUUGGGCACUUCAGUUGUAUGCUACCGGACAAGUUUGUUGCCGGAGGUAUCAUCACUAAGCUUCCUCCUUCGUGGAGGAACUUUGCUACCCUGCUGAAGCAUAAGAGGCAGGAGUUUUCCGUCCCGGAUCUCAUUGGCACUCUUGAUGUGGAAGAAAAGGCGAGAUCAAAGGACACACGUGCUCGAGGUAUUGAGGGAGGAUCUAGUACCAAUGUGGUACAAAAGCAGAACUUCCAGCCCCACAAGUUCAAGAACAAGGGCAAAUUUGAUGGUAAAGCAAAGUUUGAUGGGAAGAACAAGGCUGUGCAACACACGAACUUCAAGAAGAAGAAUGACAAGAAGAAAGGUGCUUGUCAUGUGUGUGGGGAUCCUGAUCAUUGGCCUCCUAGUUGCCCUAAUCGCUAUGACAAGCGUCAUCCUGGGAAAGGCGGCAAGACCGCUAAUGUUGUCAUUGGAGACACUGACAUGAAGGAUGCUGGGUAUGGUAUAUUUCCCAGUAUUCUUUCAGUAUGUCAUUCUCCUGACUAGUUGAUUUACACGGGUGCUAAUGUGCAUGUAUGCGGUGAUAUUUCCAUGUUUUCGUCUUAUCGGACCGCAGGGACUUCAACUGUGCCGAUGGGCAACGGUUCAAGUGCUUCUGUUCGUGGUGUUGGCACGGUCGAUCUGAAGUUUACUUCGGGGAAGAUCGUGCGGCUGAAGAACGUGCAUUAUGUCCCUUCCGUCAAUAAAAAUCUUGUUAGCGGAUCUCUUCUGUGUAGAGAUGGCUACAAGCUUGUCUUUGAGUCGAAUAAAAUUGUAAUAUCCAAGUAUGGAACCUUUGUUGGUAAAGGCUAUGAGUCAGGAGGCAUGUUUUGUUUAUCCUUGUCAGACGUUUGCAAUAAAGCUGUUAAUCAUGUUUGCAACAAUAGUGAAUCAAAUGUGUGGCAUUCACGUCUUUGUCAUGUUAACUUUGGUUGCAUGUCGCGACUAGCGAAGUUGAACUUAAUCCCUAGUUUCACCACUGUCAAGGGAUCUAAGUGUCAAGUUUGUGUGCAAACUAAGCAACCUCGUAAGUCUCACACGACUGCGGAAACGAGAAAUCUUGCACCACUAGAGCUCAUACAUUCAGAUCUAUGUGAAAUGAAUGGUGUUUUGACAAAAGGUGGAAAAAAAUAUUUCAUGACGUUAAUUGACGACUCCACUAGAUACUGCCGUGUGUAUCUUCUGAAAUCUAAGGAUGAGGCUUUGAACUUUUUCAAGAUCUAUAAAGCUGAAGUGGAAAACCAACUUGAUCAAAAAAUCAAGAGGCUUAGGUCCGACCGUGGUGGAGAGUAUUUUUCCAAUGAAUUUGAUGCUUUUUGUGCGGAACAUGGUAUAAUCCAUGAGAGGACACCUCCCUAUUCACCUCAGUCAAAUGGGGUGGCCGAAAAAAGAACCAUACUCUAACUGAUUUGGUUGAUGCCAUGUUAGACACAUCGGGUCUCUCUAAGGCAUGGUGGGGGGAGGCGAUAUUGACGGCAAGUCAUGUCCUAAACCGAGUUCCUACAAAGAACAAAGAGAUAACUCCAUUCGAGGAAUGGGAGAAGAAAAGGUUAAAACUCUCUUAUCUAUGAACAUGGGGUUGUUUGGAAAAAGUCAAUGUUCCAAUUCCAAAGAAGCGGAAGCUUGGACCAAAGAUUGUGGAUUGUGUUUUCCUGGGAUAUGCUUUUCAUAGCAUUGGCAAUAGAUUCUUGGUUGUAAAAUCUGAGGUACUGACAUGCAUGUCUGUACGAUCAUGGAGUCAAAUGACGCGACUUUCUUUGAGGAUAUCUUUCCCAUGAAGGAUAUGGCUACCUCAUCUAAUCAGGAGAUGCCUAGUUCACCGAAUCAGGAACCAGUUACAAUUACCGAACCUGCCAUUUCGAUGGAACACUUUGAAAGUCCUGUGGAGGAGAACAAUGAAGUUCUUACUAGGAGCAAGAGACAGAGGACUGCAAAGUCCUUUGGUGAUGAUUUUCUUGUGUAUCUCAUAGAUGACACUCCCAGUUCUAUUUCAGAGGCCUAUGCAUCUGAAGAUGCUGAUUACUGGAAGGAAGCGGUUCGUCGCGAGAUGGAUUCCAUCUUGGCGAAUGAAACUUGGGAGAUAACUGAUCGUUCUUAUGGAUGCAAACCUAUAGGAUGUAAAUGGGUAUUCAAGAAGAAGCUUAGGCCUGAUGGUGCUAUUGAAAACUACAAGGCUCGGUUCGUGGCUAAGGGUUAUACCCAAAAGGAAGGUGAAGACUUCUUUGAUACUUACUCACCUGUGGCUCGACUGACCACUAUUCGAGUUCUACUUUCACUAGCUGCCUCGCAUGGUCUUCUCGUUCAUCAAAUGGAUGUUAAGACUGCUUUCCUAAAUGGAGAGUUGGACGAGGAAAUUUAUAUGGAACAACCAGAUGGGUUUGUACUAGAUGGUCAGGAAGGAAAAGUGUGCAAGUUGCCGAAGUCUUUGUAUGGACUCAAGCAAGCACCCAAACAGUGGCAUGAGAGGUUUGUAAGAACUUUAAUAGCUGCAGGCUUUGUUGUAAACGAAGCUGGCAAAUAUGUGUAUUAUCGCCAUGGUGGGGGCGAGGGAGUUAUCCUUUGCUUGUAUGUUGAUGACAUACUGAUUUUCGGAACAAAUCUGAAUGUUAUUAAGGAGGUCAAGAAUUUCCUAUCUCACUGUUUUGAGAUGAAGGAUUUAGGAGUGGCUGAUGUCAUUCUGAACAUCAAGUUGUUGAGAGACGAUGAUGGUCAGAAUACAUUGCUUCAAUCUCACUAUGUGGAAAAGAUCUUGAGUCGCUUUGGCUACAGUGACUGCAAGCCCUCUCCAACACCAUAUGAUGCUAGCGUGCUGCUUCGAAAGAAUCGAAGAAUUGCUAGAUAUCAAUUGAAGUAUUCUCAGAUUAUCGGCUCGCUUAUGUACUUAGCCAGUGCUACAAGACCUGACAUCUCUUUUGCUGUUAGAAACUGAGUCGGUUUGCCUCAAAACCAGGAGAUGUGCAUUGGAAAGCUCUAGAGAGAGUUUUGCAUUAUUUGAAAGGCACUUCGAAUUAUGGAAUUCACUACACCGGGCACCGAAAGGUGCUUGAAGGGUAUAGUGACUCAAACUGGAUCUCAGAUGCUGAUGAGAUAAAGGCCACGAGCGGAUAUGUAUUCACUCAUGGAGGUGGCGCUAUUUCUUGGAAGUCUUGCAAGCAGACCAUCUUAACGAGGUCAACAAUAGAAGCAGAACUCACAACACUAGAUACAGCUACGGUCGAAGCAGAUUGGCUUCGUCGGCUCUUGAAUGACUUGCCAGUUGUUGAGAAACCUGUACCGGGUGUCCUUAUGAACUGCGACAAUCAAACUGUGAUCACGAAAGUGAGUAGCUCAAAGGAUAACAUGAAGUCAUCAAGACAUCUUCAGAGAAGGUUAAAGUCUGUCAGAAAAAUGAGAAACUCCGGAGUUAUUGCACUGGAUUAUAUCCAAACGUCCAAAAAUCUGGCAGAUCCUUUUACUAAGGGUCUAUCAUGUAAUGUGAUAGAUAAUGCAUUGAGGGAGAUCGGUAUGAGACCCACAAUAUGAGUUGUUCACAGUGGUAACCUAUUCUUUGUGAUCGGAGAUCCCGUGAAUUAGAUGUGGAAGACAAGCUGUUGGUCAACUGAGAGGAGAGUAUUCUUACUAUUAACAAUACCACUCCAUGAAGAUGCAAUGCUCUCCUAAAACUGCAUGGGAGGUUGAUGUAUAUCUUAAUGUGUUCUAAGUGGCUCAUUUAAGCAGAGAUGUUGUCCUGCAGAACAUCUUUAGAUGAACACACCUAUAUGAGUCUGAUUGUCAAACGUCGCAAUCUAUGAGAGUAGGGUUCUCUCUAGUAAACUCAUGAAAGGUCUCGGAGUAUGACGCAUAAGCUCUACCCGCGGGGAAGACCCACGGUAGCCACUUAUCGGUCAAGGCUUGAUGUGAAGCUAGAUUCGCAGAAAACUUGCAGUUCAAGGCCCAGUCCACUGUUCAAGUUGCUUACUAGUGUAACAUAGAGUUCUAGGUGGAAGUUCAACUUAACAGUCUCCACUGCAGUACCGGUAUAUAAAACAGUGUUUUGGAACCAAAGGCAAAUUUCUGUGUGCCUCUGGGAUCUGGUGGGGGUUUUCUGGAAUUUAGUCUAUUUUGGGCAGCCCAAUAACUAUUUUAGAAAUUGCUAAUAAAUCCUAGAGGCCCACUUAGCCCAUUUGUGCAAGGCAAGGGAUACUACUAAAGUUUAGUCCCACAUUGCUAGUUUAGUGGGAGUUGGACCUCCUUAUAAGGGAGGUUUUUUCCCCACUUGUAUGAGCAUGAGAACAAGAGGGAUAUCCACGUGCGCUCCUCCUCCGCCGCCCGCCUCGCCACGCCACGCCUCGCCUCGUCACGAUGCGCCGCGGGUUGCGGGAAUGAGCCGAGCCGAUAUCUAAAUUUUUGCCACGCACUACGGGUAUACGAAAGGUCACUCGGGAGCUGGAAAGUUUUUGCUGUAGUGGACAUUGAAUACGAACGCUGCACCCUUCGGCUGCUGCCUGUUUGUUUCAUCUCCCGCGUUCCUUUCAGCUCCCGGCGCAGCCUCUCUCCUCCUUCUCUUGCGCCUAUAAAAGGGAGGUCGCUCCUCUCAGAGAAAGGCACCAGAACUUCUCAUUCCUCUCGCCACCGGUUCCAAUCUCUGUGUUGCUGCUGUCUUCCUCAUCCCGGCUUGCGGCGUGCACCGCGAGUCGGGACAGUAGGCCUCCGAAACAGCACCUCUUUGAGUCCUGUACAGGAGAAGGGUGAUAAGGUUUUUGGGGAGCGCUCCGCGUGACUACUGACUUCUUCAUCACGGACUCCGACGACUACUUCCCCGACGACGACUUCUUCACCGACGUCGACAACCUCAUCAAUGACAUGGCUGGAGAGGAUGUCGACCCCAAGUCUAGUGCUUCUGCUACUGCUGCUGUCCCGUACGUGUUCUUCCUCUUUCUAUUAGAGUUUCUGCUACAGUUUCUUGUUGUAGUGUUUGCCCUAGAUAUGAUAGACUCUGCUUCAUAUUUGAAACUUGUCCUACUGUCUGCUCUAGAUAAACUUGGUUACAGUUCAUGUAUGCAGAUGUUAUUUACCUUCUUUCUGUCAGAUCGCAUGACUAGUUUUGUCACUGUUAUAUUAGUCAUGCUUUAUCUAAUAUUUCUGUUAAUAAAAUCAUUUGGUAAAUUGCUCAUAUUUCCAACAAUCCAAAAACCUUACUAUAGGCAAUUUACCCCGAGUGGUUUUGCUGCUUCCAUGAGACCUCCUAUAUUUGAGGGUAUCCACUAUAAGAGGUGGCGUGUGAGAGCAGUCUUAUGGUUUGAAACCAUGAGUUGCUAUGACGCCACUCUUGGCAAACCUGAAGGAGAGCUUGAUGCUCAACGGGCACAAGCUUUUCAGAAAAUGGAUACUCUGUUUAAGGCUGCUCUCUUGAGUGUUCUUGGUGAGAACAUAGUUGAUGCUUAUGCGUCAAUUGAUAAUGGAAAAGAUAUGUGGGAUGCACUCGAGGCCAAGUUUGGGGUCUCGGAUGCUGGCACUGAGCUGUACAUCAUGGAGCUUCCUCCUUCGUGGAGGAACUUUGCUACCUUGCUGAAGCAUAAGAGGUAGGAGUUUUCCGUCCCGGAUCUCAUUGGCACUGUUGAUGUGGAAGAAAAGGCGAGAGCAAAGGACACACGUGCCCGAGGUAUUGAGGGAGGAUCUAGUGCCAAUGUGGUACAGAAGCAGAACUUCCAGCUCCACAGGUUCAAGAACAAGGGCAAGUUUGAUGGUAAAGCAAAGUUUGAUGGGAAGAACAAGGUUGUGCAACACACGAACUUCAAGAAGAAGAAUGACAAGAAGAAAGGUGCUUGUCAUGUUUGUGGGAUCCUGAUCAUUGGGCUCCUAGUUUCCCUAAUCGCUAUGACAAGCGUCAUCCUGGGAAAGGCGGCAAGACCGCUAAUGUUGUCAUUGGAGACACUGACAUGAAGGAUACUGGGUAUGGUAUAUUUCCCAGUAUUCUUUCAGUACGUCAUUCUCCUGACUGGUUGAUUGACACGGGUGCUAAUGUGCAUGUAUGCGGUGAUAUUUCCAUGUUUUCGUCUUAUUAGACCGCAGGGACUUCAACCGUGCUGAUGGGCAACGGUUCAAGUGCUUCUGUUCGUGGUGUUGGCACGGUCGAUCUGAAGUUUACUUCGGGGAAGAUCGUGCGGCUGAAGAACGUGCAUUAUGUCCCCUCCGUCAAUAAAAAUCUUGUUAGCGGAUCUCUUCUGUGUAGAGAUGGCUACAAGCUUGUCUUUGAGUCGAAUAAAUUUGUAAUAUCCAAAUAUGGAACCUUUGUUGGUAAAGGCUAUGAGUCAGGAGGCCUGUUUCGUUUAUCCUUGUCAAAUGUUUGCAAUAAAGUUGUUAAUCAUGUUUGCAACAAUAGUGAAUCAAAUGUGUGGCAUUCACGUCUUUGUCAUGUUAACUUUGGUUGCAUGUCGUGACUAGCGAAGUUGAACUUAAUCCCUAGUUUCACCACUGUCAAGGGAUCUACGUGUCAAGUUUGUUUGCAAGCUAAGCAACCUCGUAAGUCUCACAUGACUGCGGAAACGAGAAAUCUUGCACCACUAGAGCUCAUACAUUCAGAUCUAUGUGAAAUGAAUGGUGUUUUGACAAAAGGUGGAAAGAAAUAUUUCAUGACGUUAAUUGACGACUCCACUAGAUACUGCCGUGUGUAUCUUCAGAAAUCUAAGGAUGAGGCUUUGAACUUUUUCAAGAUCUAUAAAGCUAAAGUGGAAUACCAACUUGAUCGAAAAAUCAAGAGGCUUAGGUCCGACUGUGGUGGAGAGUAUUUUUCCAAUGAAUUUGAUGCUUUUUGUGCGGAACAUGGUAUAAUCCAUGAGAGGACGCCUCCCUAUUCACCUCAUUCAAAUGGGGUGGCCGAAAGAAAGAACCGUACUCUAACUGAUUUGGUUAACGCCAUGUUAGACACAUCGGGUCUCUCCAAGGCAUGGUGGGGGGAGGCGAUAUUGACGGCAUGUCAUGCCCUAAACCGAGUUCCUACAAAGAACAAAGAGAUAACUCCAUUCGAGUAAUGGGAGAAGAAAAGGUUAAAACUCUCUUAUCUACGAACAUGGGGUUGUUUGGCAAAAGUCAAUGUUCCAAUUCCAAAGAAGCGGAAGCUUGGACCAAAGACUAUGGAUUGUGUUUUCCUGGGAUAUGCUUUUCAUAGCAUUGGCUAUAGAUUUUUGGUUGUAAAAUCUGAGGUACCUGACAUGCAUGUCGGUACGAUCAUGGAGUCAAAUGAUGCGACUUUCUUGAAGAUAUCUUUCCCAUGAAGGAUAUGGCUACCUCAUCUAAUCAGGAGAUGCCUAGUUCAUCGAAUCAGGAACCAGUUACAAUUACCAAACUUGCCACUUCGAUGGAACACUUUGAAAGUCCUGUGGAGGAGAACAAUGAAGUUCCUACUAGGAGCAAGAGACAGAGGACUGCAAAGUCCUUUGGUGAUGAUUUUCUUGUGUAUCUCAUAGAUGACACUCCCAAUUCUAUUUCAGAGGCCUAUGCAUCUGAAGAUGCUGACUACUGGAAGGAAGCGGUUCGUAGCGAGAUGGAUUCCAUCUUGGCGAAUGAAACUUGGGAGAUAACUGAUCGUCCUUAUGGAUGCAAACCUAUAAGAUGUAAAUGGGUAUUCAAGAAGAAGCUUAUGCCUGAUGGUACUAUUGAAAACUACAAGGCUCGGCUCAUGGCUAAGGGUUAUACCCAAAAGGAAGGUGAAGACUUCUUUGAUACUUACUCACCUGUGGCUCGAUUGCCCACUAUUCGAGUUCUACUUUCACUAGCUGCCUUGCAUGGUCUUCUCGUUCAUUAAAUGGAUGUUAAGACUGCUUUCCUAAAUGGAGAGUUGGACGAGGAAAUUUAUAUGGAACAACCAGAUGGGUUUGUACUAGAUGGUCAGGAAGGAAAAGUGUGCAAGUUGCUGAAGUCUUUGUAUGGACUCAAGCAAGCACCCAAACAAUGGCAUGAGAAGUUUGAAAGAACUUUAACAGCUGUAGGCUUUGUUGUAAACGAAGCUGACAAAUGUGUGUAUUAUCGCCAUGGUGGGGGCGAGGGAGUUAUCCUUUGCUUGUAUGUUGAUGACAUACUGAUUUUCGGAACAAAUCUAAAUGUUAUUAAGGAGGUCAAGAAUUUCCUAUCUCACUGUUUUGAGAUGAAGGAUUUAGGAGUGGCUGAUGUCAUUCUGAACAUCAAGUUGUUGAGAGACGAUGAUGGUGAAAUUACAUUGCUUCAAUCUCACUAUGUGGAAAAGAUCUUGAGUCGCUUUGGCUAUAGUGACUGCAAGCCCUCUGCAACACCAUAUGAUGCUAGCGUGCUACUUCGAAAGAAUCGAAGAAUUGCUAGAGAUCAAUAGAAGUAUUCUUAGAUUAUUGGCUCGCUUAUGUACUUAGCCAGUGCUACAAGACGUGACAUCUCUUUUGCCGUUAGCAAACUGAGUCGGUUUGCCUCAAAACCAGGAGAUGUUCAUUGGAAAGCUCUAGAGAGAGUUUUGCGUUAUUUGAAAGGCACUGCAAACUAUGGAAUUCACUACAUCGGCCCCCAAAGGUGCUUGAAGGGUAUAGUGACUCAAACUGGAUUUCAGAUGCUGAUAGAUAAAGGCCACGAGCGGAUAUGUAUUCACUCAUGGAGGUGGCGCUGUUUCUUGGAAGUCUGGCAAGCAGACCAUCUUAACGAGGUCAACAAUGGAAGCAGAACUCACAACACUAGAUACAGCUACGGUCGAAGCAGAUUGGCUUCGUCGGCUCUUGAAUGACUUGCCGGUUGUUGAGAAACCUGUACCGGGUGUCCUUAUGAACUGCAGCAAUCAAACUAUGAUCACGAAAGUGAGCAGCUCAAAGGAUAACAUGAAGUCAUCGAGACACGUUCAGAGAAGGUUAAAGUCUGUCAGAAAAAUGAGAAACUCCGGAGUUAUUGCAUUGGAUUAUAUACAAACGUCUAAAAAUCUGGCAGAUCCUUUUACUAAGGGUCUAUCACGUAAUGUGAUAGAUAAUGCAUCGAGGGAGAUGGGUAUGAGACCAACAAUAUGAGUUGUUCACAGUGGUAACCUAUUCUUUGUGAUCGGAGAUCCCAUGAAUUAGAUGUGGAAGACAAGCUGUUGGUCAACUGAGAGGAGAGUAUCCUUACUAUUAACAAUACCACUCCAUGAAGAUGCAAUACUCUCCUAAAACUGCAUGGCAGGUUGAUGUAUAUCUUAAUGUGUUCUAAGUGGCUCAUUUAAGCAGAGAUGUUGUCCUGCAGAACAUCUUUUGAAGAACACACCUAUAUGAGUCUGAUUGUCAAACGUCGCAAUCUAUGAGAGUAGGGUUCUCUCUAGUAAACUCAUGAAAGGUCUCGGAGUAUGACGCAUAAGCUCCACCCGCGGGGAAGACCCACGGUAGCCACGUAUCCGUCAAGGCUUUAUGUGAAUAUAGAUUCGCAGAAAACUUGCAGUUCAAGGCCCAGUCCACUAUUCAAGUUGCUUACUAGUGUAGCAUAGAGUUCUAGGUGGAAGUUCAACUUAACAGUAUCCACUGCAGUACCGGUAUAUAAAACAGUUUUUGGAACCAAAGGCAAAUUUCUGUGUGCCUCUGGGAUCUGGUGGGGGAUUGCUGGAAUUUAGUCUAUUUUGGGCAGCCCAAUAACUAUUUCAGAAAUUUGUAAUAAAUCCUAGAGGCCCACUUAGCCCAUUUGUGCAAGGCAAGGGAUACUACUAAAGUUUAGUCCCACAUUGCUGGUUUAGUAGGAGUUGGACCUCCUUAUGAGGGACGUUUUUUCCCCACUUGUAUGAGCAUAAGAACAAGAGGGAUAUCCACGCGCGCUCCUCCUCCGCCGCCCGCCUCGCCACGCCACGCCUCGUCACGACGGGUAGCGGGAAUGAGCCGAGCCGAUAUCCAAAUUUUUGCCACGCACUACGGGUAUACGAAAGGUCACUCGGGAGCUGGAAAGUUUUUGCUGUAGUGGACAUUGAAUACGAACGCUGCACCCUUCGGCUGCUGCCUGUUCGUUUCAUUUCCCGAGUUCCUUUCAGCUCCCGGCGCAGCCUCUCGCCUCCUUCUCUUGCACCUAUAAAACGGAGGUCGCUCCUCUCAGAGAAAGGCACCAGAACUUCUCCUUCCUCUCGCCACCGGUUCCAAUCUCUGUGCUGUUGUUGUCUUCCUCAUCCCGGCUUGCGGCGUGCACCGCGAGUCGGGACAGUAGGCCUCCGAAACCGCAGCUCUUUGAGUCCUGUACAGGAGAAGGGUGAUAAGGUUUUUGGGGAGCGCUCCGCGCGACUACUGACUUCUUCAUCACGGACUCCGACGACUACUUCCCCGACGACGACUUCUUCCCCGACGUCGACAACCUCAUCAACGACAUGGCUGGAGAGGAUGUCGACCCCAAGUCCAGUGCUUCUGCUACUGCUGUCCCGUACGUGUUCUUCCUCUUUCUAUUAGGAUUAUAAAGGUGCUCUACAGGUGUCUCGGAAGGUACUUGUUGGGUUGGCGUAUUUCGAUAUUAGGAUUUGUCACUCCGAUUGUCGGAGAGGUAUCUAUGGGCCCACUCGGUAAUGCUCAUCACUAUAAGCCUUGCAAGCAUUGCAACUAAUGAGUUAGUUGCGGGAUGAUGUAUUACGGAACAAGUGAAGAGACUUGCCGGUAACGAGAUUGAACUAGGUAUUGAGAUACCGACGAUCGAAUCUCGGGCAAGUAACAUACCGAUGACAAAGGGAACAACGUAUGUUGUUAUGCGGUUUGACCGAUAAAGAUCUUCGCAGAAUAUGUGGGAGCCAAUAUGAGCAUCCAGGUUCCGCUAUUGGUUAUUGACCGGAGACGUGUCUUGGUCAUGUCUACAUAGUUCUCGAACCCAUAGGGUCCGCACGCUUAAAGUUCGAUGACGGUUAUAUUAUGAGUUUAUGUGAUUUGAUGUACCGAAGGUAGUUCGGAGUCCCGGAUGAGAUCGAGGACAUGACGAGGAGUCUCGAAAUGGUCGAGACGUAAAGAUCGAUAUAUUGGACGAAUAUAUUCGGACAUCGGAACGGUUCCGAGUGAUUCAGAUAUUUUCGGAGUACCGAGGAGUUACGGGAAUUCAUCGGGAGAAGUAUUGGGCCUUAUUGGGCCAUACGGGAAUAGAGGAGAGAGGCCAAAAGGAAGGAGGUGUGCGCCCCCCUCUGGUCCGAAUUGGACAAGGGGUGCAGCCCCCUUUUCCUUCUCCCUCUCCCCUUCUUUCCUUCUCUCCUACUCUGGAAAGGAAAGGGGAAUCCUACUAGGACUUGGGAGUCCUAGUAGGACUCCCCACACUCGGAGCGCCCCCUCUAGGGCCGGCCUCUCCCUCCCUCCUUUAUAUACGGGGGCAGGGGGCACAUCUAGACACAACAAUUGAUCUCUUGAUCUUUUAGCCGUGUGCGGUGCCCCCUCCACCAUAAUCCACCUCGAUUAUAUCAUAGCGGUGCUUAGGUGAAGCCCUGCGUCGGUAGAACAUCAUCAUCGUCACCACGCCGUCAUGCUGACGGAACUCUGCCUCAAAGCUUGGCUGGAUCGGAGUUCGAGGGACGUGAUCGAGUUGAACGUAUGCAGAACUCGGAGGUGCCGUGCGUUCGGUACUUGAUCGGUCGGAUCGUGAAGACGUAUGACUACAUCAACCGCGUUGUGCUAACGCUUCCGCUUUUGGUCUAUGAGGGUACAUGGACACACUCUCCCCUCUCAUUGCUAUGCAUCACCAUGAUCUUGCGUGUGCAUAGGAAAUUUUUGAAAUUACUACGUUCCCCAACUGUGGCAUCCGAGCCUGGUUUUAUGCCUUGAUGUUAUAUGCACGAGUAGAACACAAGUGACUUGUGGGCGAUACAAGUCAUACUGCUUACCAGCAUGUCACACUUUGGUUCGGCGGUAUUGUUGGAUGAAGCGGCCCGGACCGACAUUACACGUACGCUUACGCGAGACUGGUUUUACCGCCGUGCUUUGCACACAGGUGACUAGCGGGUGUCAGUUUCUCCAACUUUAGUUGAACCGAGUGUGGCUACGCCGGUCCUUGAGAAGGUUAAAACAACACUAACUUGACGAACUAUCGUUGUGGUUUUGAUGCGUAGGUAAGAACGGUUCUUGCUCAGCCCGUAGCAGCCACGUGAAACUUGCAACAACAAAGUAGAGGACGUCUAACUUGUUUUUGCAGGGCAUGUUGUGAUGUGAUAUGGUCAAGAUGUGAUGAGAUAUAAGUUGUUGUAUAAGAUGAUCAUGUUUUGGUGAAGUUAUCGGCAACUGGCAGAAGCCUCAUGGUUGUCUCUUUAUUUUAUAAGAUGCAAGCGCCAAAUAAUUGCUUUACUUUAUCGCUAUGCAAUAGCAAUAGUUGCAAGAGCAAUGGUUGGCGAGACGACCAUAUGACAACACAUUGAUAUAGAUCAAGAUGAUGGAGAUCAUGGUGUCAUGCCGAUGACGAUUAAAAUCAUGACGAUGCUUUGGAGAUGGAGAUCAAAGGCACAAGAUGAUGAUGGCCAUAUCAUGUCACAUAUUUUGAUUGCAUGUGAUGUUUAUCUUUUAUACAUCUUAUUUUUCUUAGUUCGGGUAGCUUUAUAAGAUGAUCCCUUACUAAAAUUUCAAGGUACAAGUGUUCUCCCUGAAUAUGCACCGUUGCCAAAGUUCGUCGUGCCGAGACACCACGUGAUGAUCGGGUGUGAUAAGCUCUACAUUCAUCUACAACGGGUGCAAGCCAGUUUUGCACACGCAGAAUACUCAGGUUAAACUUGAGGAGCCUAGCAUAUGCAGAUAUGGCAUUGGAACACUGAGACCGAAAGGUCGAGCGUGAAUCAUAUAGUAGAUAUGAUCAACAUAGUGAUGUUCACCAUUGAAAACUACUCCAUUUCACGUGAUGAUCGGUUAUGAUUUAGUUGAUUUGGAUCACGUGAUCACUUAGAUGAUUAGAGGGAUGUCUAUCUAAGUGGGAGUUCUUAAGUAAUAUGAUCAAUUGAACUUUAAUUUAUCAUGAACUUAGUCCUGGUAGUAUUAUCAUAUCUAUGUGUAGAUCAAUAGCUCGCGUUUAGCUUCCCUGUUUUAUUUUGAUAUGUUCCUAGAGAAAACUAAGUUGAAAGAUGUUAGUAGCAAUGAUGCGGAUUUGAUCCGUGAUCUGAGGAUUAUCCUCAUUGCUGCACAGAAGAAUUAUGUCCUUGAUGCACUGCUAGGUGACAGACCUAUUGCAGGAGCAGAUGCAGACGUUAUGAACGUUUGGCUAGCUCAAUAUGAUGACUACUUGAUAGUUUAGUGCACCAUGCUCAACGGCUUAGAAUCGGGACUUCAAAGAUGUUUUGAACAUCAUGGACAAUAUGAGAUGUUCCAGGAGUUGAAGUUAAUAUUUCAAGCAAAUACCCGAGUUGAGAGAUAUGAAGUCUCCAACAAGUUCUAUAGCUAAAAGAUGGAGGAGAAUAGCUCAAGCAGUGAGCAUGUGCUCAGAUUGUCUGGGUACUACAAUCGCUUGAAUCAAGUGGGAGUUAAUCUUCCAGAUAAAAUAGUGAUUGACAGAAUUCACUAGUCACCAUCACCAAGUUAGUAGAACUUCGUGAUGAACUAUAGUAUGCAAGGGAUGACGAAAACGAUUCCCGAGCUUUUCAUGAUGAUGAAAUCGAUGAAGGUAGAAAUCAAGAAAGAGCAUCAAGUGUUGAUGAUUAACAAGACCACUAGUUUCAAGAAAAGGGCAAAGAGAAAGAAGGGGAACUUCAAGAAGAACGGCAAGCAAGUUUCUGCUCAAGUAAAGAAGCCCAAGUCUGGACCUAAGCCUGAGACUAAGUGCUUCUACUGCAAAGGGACUGGUCACUCGAAGCAUAACUACCCCAAGUAUUUGGCAGAUAAGAAGGACGGCAAAGUGAACAAAGGUAUGUUUGAUAUACAUGUUAUUGAUGUGUGCUUUACUAGUGUUUAUAGCAACCCCUCGGUAUUUGAUACUGGUUCAGUUGCUAAAAGUAGUAACUCGAAACGGGAGUUGCAAAAUGAAGAGAAACUAGUUAAGGGCGAGGUGACGACGUGUGUUGGAAGUAGUUCCAAGAUUGAUAUGAUCAUCAUCGCACACUCCCUAUACUUUCGGGAUUAGUGUUGAACCUAAAUAAGUGUUAUUUGGUGUUUGCGUUGAGCAUGAAUAUGAUUUGAUCAUGUUUAUUGCAAUACGGUUAUUCAUUUAGGUUAGAGAAUAAUUGUUGUUCUGUUUACAUGAAUAAAACCUUCUAUGGUCAUACACCCAAUGAAAAUGGUUUGUUGGAUCUCGAUCGUAGUGAUAUACAUAUUCAUAAUAUUGAAGCCAAAAGAUGCAAAGUUAAUAAUGAUAGUGCAACUUAUUUGUGGCACUGCCGUUUAGGUCAUAUUGGUGUAAAGCGCAUGAAGAAACUCCAUGCUGAUGGAAUUUUGGAAUCACUUGAUGCUUGCGAACCAUGCCUCAUGGGCAAGAUGACUAAGACUCUGUUCUCCGGAACAAUGGAGCGAGCAACUGACUUAUUGGAAAUAAUACAUACUGAUGUAUGCGGUCCGAUGAGUGUUAAGGCUCGCGGCAAGUAACGUUAUUUUCUGACCUUCACAGAUGAUUUGAGCAGAUAUGGGUAUAUCUACUUGAUGAAACAUAAGUCUGAAACAUUUGAAAAGUUCAAAGAAUUUCAGAGUGAAGUGGAGAAUCAUCGUAACAAGAAAAUAGAAGUUUCUACGAUAUGAUCGCAGAGGUAAAAUAUUUGAGUUACGAGUUUGGCCUUCAGUCAAAACAAUGUGAAAUAGUUUCACUACUCACGCCACCUGAAACACCACAGCGUAACGGUGUGUCCGAACGUCGUAACCGCACUUUAUUUGAUAUGGUGCGAUCUAUGAUGUCUCUUACCGAUUUACCACUAUCGUUUUGGGAUUAUGCAUUAGAGACAGCUGCAUUCACGUUAAAUAAGGCACCAUCUAAAUCCAUUGAGACGACACCGUAUGAACUAUGGUUUAGCAAGAAACCUAAGCUGUCGUUUCUUAAAGUUUGAGGUUGCAAUGCUUAUGUGAAAAAGUUUCAACCUGAUAAGCUCAAACCCAAAUCGGAGAAGUGCGUCUUCAUAGGAUACCCAAAAGAAAAUGUUUGGUACACCUUCUAUCAUAGAUCCGAAGGAAAGAUAUUCGUUGCUAAGAAUGGAUCCUUUCUAGAGAAGGAGUUUCUCUCGAAAGAAGUGAGUGGGAGGAAAGUAGAACUUGAUGAGGUAACUAUACCUGCUCCCUUAUUGGAAAGUAGUUCAUCACAGAAACCGGUUCCUGUGACACCACCAAUUAGUGAGGAAGCUAAUGAUGAUGAUCAUGAAACUUCAGAUCAAGUUACUACCGAACCUCGUAAGUCAACCAGAGUAAGAUCCGCACCAGAGUGGUACGGUAAUCCUAUUCUGGAGGUCAUGUUACUUGACCAUGACGAACCUACGAACUAUGAGGAAGCGAUGAUGAGCCCAGAUUCCGCGAAAUGGCUUGAGGCCAUGAAAUCCGAGAUGGGAUCCAUGUAUGAGAACAAAGUAUGGACUUUGAUUGACUUGCCCGAUGAUCGGCAAGCCAUCGAGAAUAAAUGGAUCUUCAAGAAGAAGACUGACGCUGACGGUAAUGUUACUGUCUAUAAGGCUCGAGUUGUUGCAAAAGGUUUUUGACAAGUUCAAAGGAUUGACUACGAUGAGACCUUCCCACCCGUAGCGAUGCUUAAGUAUGUCCAAAUCAUGUUAGCAAUUGCCACAUUUUAUGAAAUCUGGCAAAUGGAUAAACAAAACUGCAUUCCUUAAUGGAUUUAUUAAAUAAGAGUUGUAUAUGAUGCAACCAGAAGGUUUUGUCAAUCCUAAAGGUGCUAACAAAAUGUGCAAGCUCCAGCGAUCCAUCUAUGGACUGGUGCAAGCAUCUCGGAGUUGGAAUAUACGCUUUGAUAAAUUGAUCAAAGCAUAUAGUUUUAUACAGACUUGCGGUGAAGCCUGUAUUUACAAGAAAGUGAGUGGGAGCACUACAACAUUUCUGAGAAGUAUAUGUGAAUGACAUAUUGUUGAUCGGAAAUAAUGUAGAAUUAUUCUGCAAAGCAUAAAGGAUUGUUUGAAAGGAGUUUUUCAAAGAAAGACCUUGGUGAAGCUGCUUACAAAUUGAGCAUCAAGAUCUAUAGAGAUAGAUCAAGACGCUUGAUAAGUUUGUUUUCAAUGAGUACAUACCUUGACAAGAUUUUGAAGUAGUUCAAAAUGGAACAGUCAAAGAAAGAGUUCUUGACUGUGUUACAAGGUGUGAAAUUGAGUAAGACUCAAAGCCCGACCACGGCAAAAGAUAGAAAGAGAAUGAAAGUCAUUCCCUAUGCCUCAACCAUAGGUUCUAUAAAGUAUGCCAUGCUGUGUACCAGAUCUAUUGUAUACCCUACACUGAUUUUGGCAAGGGAGUACAAUAGUGAUCUAGGAGUAGAUCACUGAACAGCGGUCAAAAUUAUCCUUAGUGGAAUAAGGAUAUGUUUCUCGAUUAUGGAGGUGACAAAAGGUUCGUCAUAAAGGGUUACGUCGAUACAAGUUUUGGCACUGAUCCAGAUGACUCUGAGUCUUAAUCUGGAUACAUAUUGAAAGUGGGAGCAAUUAGCUAGAGUAGCUCCGUGCAGAGCAUUGUUGACAUAGAAAUUUGCAAAAUACAUACGGAUCUGAAUGUGGCAGGCCCGUUGUCUAAACUUCUCUCACAAGCAAAACAUGAUAACACCUUAGUACUCUUUGGGUGUUAAUCACAUAGCGAUGUGAACUAGAUUAUUGACUCUAGUAAACCCUUUGGGUGUUGGUCACAUGACGAUGUGAACUAUGGGUGUUAAUCACAUGGUGAAGUGAACUAUUGAUGUUAAAUCAUAGGGUGAUGUGAACUAGACUUUUGACUCUAGUGCAAGUGGGAGACUGAAGGAAAUUUGCCCUAGAGGCAAUAAUAGAGUUAUUAUUUAUUUCCUUAUAUCAUGAUAAAUGUUUAUUAUUCAUGCUAGAAUUGUAUUAACCGAAAACUUAGUACAUGUGUGAAUACAUAGACAAACAGAGUGUCACUAGUAUGCCUCUACUUGACUAGCUCGUUGAAUCAAAGAUGGUUAAGUUUCCUAGCCAUAGACAUGAGUUGUGAUUUGAUUAACGGGAUCACAUCAUUAGAGAAUGAUGUGAUUGACUUGGCCCAUUCCGUUAGCUUAGAACUUGAUCGGUUAGUAUGUUGUUAUUGCUUUCUUCAUGACUUAUACAUGUUCCUAUGACUAUGAGAUUAUGCAACUCCCGUUUACCGGAGGAACACUUUGUGUGCCACCAAACGUCACAACGUAACUGGGUGAUUAUAAAGGUGCUCUACAGGUGUCUCCGAAGGUACUUGUUGGGUUGGCGUAUUUCGAGAUUAGGAUUUGUCACUCCCAUUGUCGGAGAGGUAUCUCUGGGCCCACUCGGUAAUGCUCAUCACUAUAAUCCUUGCAAGCAUUGCAACUAAUGAGUUAGUUGCGGGAUGACGUAUUACGGAACGAGUGAAGAGACUUGCCGAUAACGAAAUUGAACUAGGUAUUGAGAUACCGACGAUCGAAUCUCGGGAAAGCAAUAUACCGAUGACAAAGGGAACAACGUAUGUUGUUAUGCGGUUUGACCGAUAAAGAUCUUCGUAGAAUAUGUGGGAGCAAAUAUGAGCAUCCAGGUUCCGCUAUUGGUUAUUGACCGGAGACGUGUCUCAGUCAUGUCUACAUAGUUCUCGAACCCGUAGGGUCCGCACGCUUAAAGUUCGAUGACGGUUAUAUUAUGAGUUUAUGUGAUUUGAUGUAUCGAAGGUUGUUCGGAGUCCCGGAUGAGAUCGGGGACAUGACGAGGAGUCUCGAAAUGGUCGAGACGUAAAGAUCGAUAUAUUGGACGACUAUAUUCGGACAUCGGAAAGGUUCCGAGUGAUUCAGGUAUUUUCGGAGUACCGGGGAGUGACGGGAAUUCACCGGGAGAAGUAUUGGGCCUUAUUGGGCCAUACGGGAAUAGAGGAGAGAGGCCAAAAGUAAGGAGGCACGCGCCCCCCCCUCUGGUCCGAAUUGGACAAGGGGUGCAGCCCCCUUUUCCUUCCCCCUCUCCCCUUCUUUCCUUCUCUCCUACUCCGGAAAGGAAAGGGGAAUCCUACUAGGACUUGGGAGUCCUAGUAGGACUCCCCACACUUGGCGCGCCCCCUCUAGGGCCGGCCUCUCCCUCCCUCGUUUAUAUACAGGGGCAGGGGGACACCAGUAGACACAACAAUUGAUCUCUUGAUCUUUUAGCCGUGUGUGGUGCCCCCCUCCACCAUAAUCCACCUCGAUUAUAUCGUAGCGGUGCUUAGGCGAAGCCCUGCGUCGGUAGAACAUCAUCAUCGUCACCACGCUGUCGUGCUGACGGAACUCUGCCUCAAAGCUCGGCUGGAUCGGAGUUCGAGGGACGUCAUCGAGUUGAACAUGUGCAGAACUCGAAGGUGCCGUGCGUUCGGUACUUGAUCGGUCGAAUCGUGAAGACGUACGACUAUAUCAACCGCGUUGUGCUAACGCUUCCGCUUUCGGUCUACGAGUGUAUGUGGACACACUCUCCCCUCUCGUUGCUAUGCAUCACCAUGAUCUUGCGUGUGCGUAGGAAAUUUUUGAAAUUACUACGUUCCCCAACAGGUUCUGCUACAGUUUCUUGUUCUAGUGUUUGCCCUAGAUAUGAUAGACUCUGCUUCAUAUAUGGAACUUGUCCUACUGUCUGCUCUAGAUAAACUUGGUUACAGUUCAUGUAUGCAGAUGUUAUUUACCUUCUUUCUGUCAGAUCGCAUGACUAGUUUUGUCACUGUUAUAUUAGUCAUGCUUUAUCUAAUAUUUCUGUUAAUAAAAUCAUUUGGUAAAUUGCUCAUAUUUCCAACAGGAUCCACCAGUGAUCUUCUUGCUACUAUGGUCCGCCGACGACAUUGAUGUAAUUGUUAAUGUGGAUUCUGUCAGUUGCAAGUUUGAUUUUCGCCAUGAUUUAAUUUAUGUGUUUUUAGUUUGUUAAGAUCAAGGAUUUCCGAGAUUGAAUAGAAGUCUCCCUCUGGCCGUAUACAAUUAUUUCUACUGUGAAAACAGAGAGUUGGACUCCAAAGUCAGGGAAAUAAGAUAGGCAUAUAGCAGUACAAGUCUUCCUAGAGAUCCGCGCUUGCUUCUCCUAUCUAUUCUUUUUGGCCCAUUUUAGUUUCUUCGAUCAGACUGAACUGUGGCCUUGGGUACGACUGAAUAAAUUAGAUGUUCUUUUGAUGGUCUUGCUGCUUGCAUCUGUAUCCUCACAGGUCACUGCAUAGAAAGUAUUUGUUUUUCACUGAUUAGAUAUCAUAAAUUAAAGGCCGUAUGCUCAGAUUUUAG